ACAAUGAAGGAAGUUUUGAUUUUGCUUAUGUUGACGCUGACAAGAUAAAUUACCGCAACUAUCAUGAAAGACUGUUGAAAUUGUUGAAAGUUGGUGGCAUAGUUGUGUAUGAUAACACACUCUGGGGAGGGAGUGUUGCAAUGCCUGAGGAGCAGGUUGCAGAAGUGUGGAAAUCCAACCGGAACUCGGUAAUCGAGUUUAAUGAAGUCUUGGCAUCUGAUUCUCGCAUCCAAAUUUGCCUUACAC
rnacentral:lncRNA from 1 species